rnacentral:rRNA from 1 species
UACAGAGGUCUCAAGCGUUUGUUCGGAUUCAUUGGGCGUAAAGGGUGCGUAGGUGGCGUCGUAAGUCGGGUGUGAAAUUUCGGAGCUUAACUCCGAAACUGCAUUCGAUACUGCCGUGCUUGAGGACUGGAGAGGAGACUGGAAUUUACGGUGUAGCGGUGAAAUGCGUAGAUAUCGUAAGGAAGACCAGUGGCGAAGGCGGGUCUCUGGACAGUUCCUGACGCUGAGGCACGAAGGCCCAGGGGGAGCAAAACGGG